rnacentral:lncRNA from 1 species
AAGAGCACUUUACAAUAAAGGGUGUGAGUUAUAAAUCAUUUAGAAACAUUAGGGAUCUGUACUGUAAAGAUAAAAAUUUGUCUGGCCUGAUGAAGUACUUCAUUGUAUGAAGAUAAAACCUCAGGAAGCUAUUAAUGUAAAGCAAACACACACUGUGAAUGAUGUCUCUUAACUCAUCUUCAUAGUUUUAUAAAACCUGUGCUGGGUUAAGAUAACCAUAUGUCCUUAAAAGAACAGUUGAAUUGGAUAAUAUUUACAUUUUGGUGCUUUUUAUUUCCAUGUUUAAAAUAAGGUACUGAAGAUAGUGUUUGUAUAUGAAGGAGAUUUCCUGUUUAGAUUUGGAACCAUCAGCUGAAUGUUGAGGGGUUUUCUC